GCGUUCAAUUCAGCAGCACACAUACUAACACUGGAACAAUUCAGAGAAGAUCAGCAUGGCCCCUGCGCAAGGAUGACAUGCAAAUUCGUGAAGCAUUCGUAUUUUUA
rnacentral:snRNA from 1 species